AGAGAGAGGACAUGCGCGCAUAUCAAUAAGCGGAGGAAAAGAAACUAACAAGGAUUCCCUUAGUAACGGCGAGUGAAGCGGGAAGAGCUCAAAUUUGAAAUCUUCAAGGUUCCACCUUGACGAAUUGUAGUUUAUAGAAGUGUUUUCUGUUAGUGGAGUGGCAAAAGUUCUUUGGAAUAGGACAUCAUAGAGGGUGAGAAUCCCGUAUUUGGUCAUUCCUCCUAGCGUUAGUGAUACACUUUCAAUGAGUCGGAUUGUUUGGGAAUGCAGUCCAAAAUGGGUGGUAAAUUUCAUCUAAAGCUAAAUAUUGGCGAGAGACCGAUAGCGAACAAGUACCGUGAGGGAAAGAUGAAAAGAACUUUGAAAAGAGAGUUAAACAGUACGUGAAAUUGUCAAAAGGGAAGCGUUUGACACCAGUGUUGUUUUUCCGAAAAUCAAUUACGAAUGUUUUAGUUUUUGAGGAGUUAUGACUUCAUCGGCUUGGCUCCUUUCUUUACUGAAACUUUCUUAAUGCACUUUUCGGUUAACAAGUCAACAUCAAUUUCUUUUGUUGUAAAAGGGUAUGAGGAAGGUGGCUUUCUUUUCGGAGAAAGUGUUUAUAGCCUUGUGCCUCUGCAAUCGGAGAGAUUGAGGUCUGCAGCGUAGAUCCUUCGGGGUUAGAUACGUUUGUGCUAAGUUAUAGCUUUUCAUAGACAACUUGUUGACUAUGUUUAGUCUUGUAGCUUACUCGCUGACGCUAUUUUACCUACGCUUAGGAUGUUGAUAGUCACAGCGUGUAC
rnacentral:rRNA from 1 species